UUACAGAAGAACUUCCCAAGACUCCUCUCCUUACUUGUGAACACCGCUCUUCCAGUCUUCGGCACUAUUCAGGCCACAUCACUUGCCAUCUUCUACCAGAAGAACUUCCCAAGACUCCUCUCCUUACUUGUGAACACCGCUCUUCCAGUCUUCGGCACUAUUCAG